GACGAACGCUGGCGGCGUGCUUAACACAUGCAAGUCGAACGGUGAACGAGGGAGCUUGCUCCCUCCGGAUCAGUGGCGAACGGGUGAGUAACACGUGAGCAAUCUGCCCCGAACUCUGGGAUAAGCGUUGGAAACGACGUCUAAUACCGGAUACGACGCGGGAGGGCAUCCUCUCCGCGUGGAAAGAACUUCGGUUCGGGAUGAGCUCGCGGCCUAUCAGCUUGUUGGUGAGGUAACGGCUCACCAGGCGACGACGGGUAGCCGGCCUGAGAGGGUGACCGGCCACACUGGGACUGAGACACGGCCCAGACUCCUACGGGAGGCAGCAGUGGGGAAUAUUGCACAAUGGGCGCAAGCCUGAUGCAGCAACGCCGCGUGAGGGACGACGGCCUUCGGGUUGUAAACCUCUUUUAGCAGGGAAGAAGCGAAAGUGACGGUACCUGCAGAAAAAGCACCGGCUAACUACGUG
rnacentral:rRNA from 1 species